GUCUACAAUCCUACCUCAUUGAACACACCUGAUCCCAUCUGAUCUCAGGAGCUAAGCAGGGCCAGGCCUGGUUAAUCCUUGGCUGGGAAACAAAGGCU
rnacentral:rRNA from 1 species